rnacentral:rRNA from 1 species
AAGAUUUAUAAUCUAUAAUUGAGAUUGAUUUUGUCUUUUAAAAUUGGUUUUAUUUGAUAUUUUUAAAUAUAAGUUUUUAUGCGGGUUAUUUAAUUAUCUUGAUGAUAAUUUUAUUAAUUAUUUGUAGUUUUUAAUUUUGAGUUAAUGAAUUAUUUUAUGCUCAGUUAAUUUUUUAAGAAUUGUGCAAAAUUGUGCCAGCACACGCGGUUAUACAGUUGAAUUCAAAUUAAUUUUUUUGGGAAAUAUUAAUUUAUUUUAUGUUUAAAAUUUAAUUUUUAUUAUUAGGUGAAAUUUUUAAUAAUUGUUAUAUUUUUAUGGUAUAGAUUAUAUGAAAUUUGGAAUUAAAACUAGGAUUAGAUACCCUAUUAUUCUAAAAGUAAAAUUUAAUCCAUGCUAUUAAUAGUUAAGACCUUUAAAUUAAAAAAAUUUGGCGGUAAU